rnacentral:lncRNA from 1 species
AACUUUGUUGUCUAUGUUUGUAUAUAAAGUUAGAUUAUAGAAUUCCAAGAAUUUGAAAGGGAAAAAUAAGUUACUUACCUUUAAGGUAUACCAAUUAUAUUUUCAAUGUUUUCUUCCUUUUCUCUUUGUUUUUCGUUUCUUUUCCUCCCUUUUUUUCGUUUCUUUUCCUUCAUUCUUCAUUCUUUCUUUGAAGCAAAACCUUGCACAAACAAAAGUUAAGACAAUGGAAAAUUAAAUUAGGAAGAGGGAAAUACCUUAGAUUUCUCGAGAAUGG